GCCUGGGUGGCUCAGUCGGUUAAGCAUCUGACUUCAGCUCAGGUCAUGAUCUCGCGGUCUGUGAGUUCAAGCCCCGCAUCGGGCU
rnacentral:tRNA from 1 species